rnacentral:rRNA from 1 species
GUCGGACAUCAGGAGGUUAGUGCAAAGGCAUAAGCUAGCUUGACUGCGAGAGUGACGGCUCGAGCAGGUGCGAAAGCAGGUCUUAGUGAUCCGGUGGUUCUGAAUGGAAGGGCCAUCGCUCAACGGAUAAAAGGUACUCCGGGGAUAACAGGCUGAUACCGCCCAAGAGUUCAUAUCGACGGCGGUGUUUGGCACCUCGAUGUCGGCUCAUCACAUCCUGGGGCUGAAGUAGGUCCCAAGGGUAUGGCUGUUCGCCAUUUAAAGUGGUACGCGAGCUGGGUUUAGAACGUCGUGAGACAGUUCGGUCCCUAUCUGCCGUGGGCGCUGGAGAAUUGAGGGGGGCUGCUCCUAGUACGAGAGGACCGGAGUGGACGCAUCACUGGUGUUCGGGUUGUCAUGCCAAUGGCAUUGCCCGGUAGCUAAAUGCGGAAGAGAUAAGUGCUGAAAGCAUCUAAGCACGAAACUUGCCCCGAGAUGAGUUCUCCCUGAGACUUAGAGUCUCCUGAAGGAACGUUGAAGACGACGACGUUGAUAGGCCGGGUGUGUAAGCGCAGCGAUGCGUUGAGCUAACCGGUACUAAUGAACCGUGAGGCUUAACCUUACAACGCCGAAG